CUGGGGGAAAUUGUGAGGAAAUCAACAGAGUGAGGAAAAUUUAGGGAAAGAAUCAGAAAGUAACAAAGUGUUUCCCUCUGAUGCAUUUGUCUCCUUAAUUUUACUGAUACCCCUAACAUGAACAGCUUUUUCAUAUUCCAAAUGUAGCAGUUAAUAGGAAAAAAAAAAAGACAUUCUAGUUCUAUUGGGCCAAAACCUGGAGCAGCUGGGGACAGUGGAAAGAACACCGUUCUUGGUAAUGGAAGAUCUGGGUUUGAACUUGGCUCUACUUCUUUGAAUCAGUCAUGCUUCAUGCCACUUCCUAAAGCUUCAGUUUCCUUCUCUGUAAAAUGUAAAUGGUAGUCCUGCUUCUUAGAGCCCUACUGAAGAUUAAAUGAGAUCAUGUGUGGGUAAAUGCAGGAUACCUAAUAAGUACUCAAUGAUUCUUUUUAAAAAAGAGAAAGUCAAAGAGAUUUGAUAACUUGUGCCCAAAGCACUGCCUCCCUGGGUCUCAACUUCAACUUGUAUUUGUGUAACUCCACCUGCAGGCUGGCUCCCCUCCACUUUUCCAAGAUUCCUGCAGGCAGGAAGCAAUAUAGCGAUGUUGUAAUUUGAUAAAGAAGUAUGGUGGAAAAGCUGGAGCCCCAUUUCACAUCAGUAUGGUGGAUACUGCCCUGUGGAAAAAUGGUGCCACAACAGGUUUUGUGUGUCCAGAGAUGGGAGUGAUCCGUGGACGUCCUGAAGACUUGGAGUCAGAGUGUCUGCGCUUGAAUUUUUGUCCAUGAAGAGUGGGAUCUGAAGCUGGCUACGAAUGGUCUUGGGGACAAGACAUACAGGCAAGGCGCCCCCUGAACGCUUUGGGUUCACUGUUCUCUCCUUCUUGUUACCAAGGCAGGGCUGUGGUGGCUGCACGAGGAGGGCAGAGAACUUGCUCCAACCUCUUUCGGACCAAAAGCCCAGGUAAUCAGCUGAGCUGGACAUGUUCGCUGGUGGAAUGGACUUCCCACAUUGUCCCACCUUCUUCAAUUCUCCCUCUUGCUUCUGGUUUUAUCAGCAGCAGCCUGAUGAUAAAAUACUCACUUCUAGCAAUGCUGUUUCCCCCCAAACUGGUGAGAAGAGAUUUAACCCGAGAAGCAUAAAGACCUAGCUGAGGGGAAACGUUGACCAAGAAAACGUUAAUAACCAGCUAGUCGCCGUCACAACAUUCCAUUGUGACUACAUUGAGGACCCCAUGGGGGGACCUGUAGAAAUCGCUUUCAUGUUGAAGGCACUGUGGGAAAGAGGGAAACUGAGCAGAGGAGGUACCCUGGGAUUGGGGCAGGCUGAUCUUUAAAGACCAUGAAAGGCCAAUGAGAAACGCACAGGAGCUGCAAAGGCUGAAACCCAAGCAUUCCCUCCAAACUGGAGCUCCUGGAGUGUGUCUCGGAGAAAGGCUGCGCUAACAGGUUUGGAGAGGAAGCAAAGAUGCUAAUGAAGCGUGAACUGGCUGCUUUCAGCAGAGCCUUCUGGGCACCACGCCACUAUCUCGCUUUCUUUCCUACCCAUUUAUUUAUUUAUAUUCUUAAUUAAUGGAAAUUUCAACUCCCAUUAGAUCAGGAGACGUCAGUAAUAAACAGCCACAGCUUUAAGCAGAAAUAAGCUACUGGGGAAGGGCAGAGGCUUCUCUUUCUGCUCCUGGAUUCCAGUCACAUGGCUGGCCUGAGCUCAGGAGAGAAAAUCCGUAUGCUGGUUCUGGUAGGAGAGCCAAGAGCCUGUGUUGAUGGGCCACUGACCUCCAUGGUUAUCUAUGAGUUUCUUUUUCUUCAAGCGUCACUAAGACUUUCCCUCUAAAUUCCUCUGUUGGAAUCAGACAGCUCAGAUUUGAAUCCUACCCGGCUGCGCAAUCUUGGGCAAGUUAAUUAACCUUUCUGUGUCUCAGCCUUUUCUAUUAAAGAAAGUAAUAGUACUUACUCCAUAGGGCAGCUGUGGGUCUUAAAUGAGGUAAUGUGGGGGAAGUACUUGGCACCGUGCCAGACCUAUAGUGGCCGCUCACUGGAUGUUACCCAUUCUCAUCACCAUCAUCCAGAACCCAGACAUACGCAUACACGUAUGACUGUCGCUCCUCUCCCAUGUGCCUCAAGCAGCCCAGCAGAAGCUCCUUCCAGGAGCAGGGCUGGUAAGCACCCUCCUUCAGGAAUGUCCCGAUGCUCCCUGCUCUGGGUUCUAGCAUCUGCUUUGGGAAUAGCAUUGUGAGUCAGGCUAGGGUGGAGUGAAGUCCUGAACCUUGGAACUAUUGGUGUCAUUUGUGAAGCCUGAAGACCUCUGCUUGGGUAUAAUCCAGGGCUUGGAUAUUAAUAUGGGACUUAGGUAUAGCCAAAAAGCCCUUGAUGGGUUGAGACAUGGUGGAGCGAUGAGAGCUGGAAAAAAUAAUCGGUAUCCCGCAGUGAGAGGAAAAGUCCCAGCCCAGCUUUAAAGGAAGGCCGCGGCAGGCUCCUGGAUAGCAGGCCGAGCCUGCCAAGGCAGGGCAACGAUCUGAUGUCACAUCUUCUUGGUUUGACUCUUGGCUUCACAACUUUCUGGCUGUGGGACCUUGGACAAAGCUUGUAACCUUUCUAAGCCUUGGUGUCUUGACAUGAAAAAUGAGCAUGAGAAUAGCCAUGUUCUCCUCAUGGCUGUGCAUAGGAUGACAUGUGAUACCAUAUGAAGUGAUUUAUAGAAUGCCUGGCAAGUUCUCAGAAACUGGUAGCUGUUAUGAUUAGAUCUGUUUUAUUCAUCUCUGUGUUUUCAGUUCCUAUGAUGGUGUCCGCUUAUAGUGAGUGCUCAAGAAAUAUCAAGUAGUCAGAUGGAGAAUGGCACACUUGGGACAACCCACUAAACUUUUUGGGCUUGAUACCUGUAAUGGGGGGGGGUGCUGCUAGAUGGCCUUGAAUGCCACAUCCAGAUCCAGAUCGAGGGAAUCUGUGCCAAUUGCACAGAUGCCUUCUGGGCCUGGGAUCCCUGGGCCUGAGAGUAGAAUGUGUUUUACUUCAAGGAACAAACUUUUCUCUUCCUUGGCAAGAUGACUAUAUGUAUUGACAAAGAACAAAGUAGCAAAGGUCCCAGGUACUGCUGGAGAGAGAAAUUUAAACUUCUGAGUUUGAGUCUUAAAUUACUGGCACCCUUUUGGGUAAAAAAGGAUCUACUAGUUAUCUUGAAUACGCUAUUGGAUUUCUUUUCUAAAGGGAAAGAGUAAGUCAAAAGGUGAGUGAGGCAUUAGUCGGCAUUAAGAAAGAACCAGAGCACAACUGGGAAAGAAUUGUUAUUCCAUCCGGUAAAUUUGCACUCUCUCCUCACCUUGACUACCAGCUUCACUUUGCGGCUCACCUCAUCUCGGAUAGGACACAGCAGAAAUAGAAAAGGUCCCGGAAGGGCAGAACAGAUGGAUAUGGGGGACGGGGCAACUUCACACCAAAAAAGAUGACACAUUUCCUUCUGAAAGGAGCAGAGGAAAGGGGUGAGCACUUCCUGAGGUGGCAAGUGUAAUGAAUGGGGGCAGCAAGCCAAUUGCAGGCUCCUCUUGCCCUUUCCCCUAAGAGGAGAAAGAGGCCGCACUUGACAAAAUUAAAAGGGAGCAAAUUUAGAACUGAUGAAAGGAAGCGCUCUCCACUCAAUGUGUAAUUAACCUGCGAAGGAACCCAACCUGCUCGCUAUUAACUGAGGCAAGCCGUUAGCUGGGCUUUCCGAUGGCUGGAAGCAUAACAGCCGUUUUGGCAGUUACACUGGUUAAGCCUGCAGUUCCUGAGGUAAUUCAUCCUCUGCGGUACGACAUGACAUGACAGCCAGGUUGAGAAGAGCCACAUCCCCUGGGAUGCAAAAAAAAGUGGAGGUGAGAUUGGGCCUGUAGACAGAGAAGACAGUAGCGCAGAGGAGGCCGUGCUGAUCCAGGGAAGGUAGGGAGCUUGACUGAGGUCACACGCCACGUUGAGGUGGAGCCCUGAGCCCCCGCUUCCUGGUCCCGAGCCAGCGCCCUCUCCCUCACAGUGUGUGGCCACCCCUCCAGCGGGUGGCCACACACUGGAAGGUUGCUGCGGACUCUCGUUUCUUGCCUUCUUCUCCACUCCCGUCCUUGCUCGCUGCACGGUUAGUGGGCGGUGACCCCCUCCUGAAGGGUGUGGUCAGAAUCUGGGCCUGGGAAAUCAGGACAAUCAAUGUGGGGAGCUGUUCCAUCUGAGUAUGUUUCUUCAGGGCAGGAAUUCUGACCCACUUUGUGUCCAUGAGAUCUUGAGUCUUCUGGAAAGUGCAAGCGAUAGUAUAGAAUAGAGAAAAAGAGAGCUUGUUUUUCAUGCGGAUGUCAGUGUUACCAGUUCGAAUGCUGUCUUCACUGCUUCUAGGUAUGUGACCGCGGUGACUUGCUUCCUGACUCUCUGUCUCCUCCUUAUCUUACCACUGCCUUCGUACACGUGCGCUGAAAAGCGUGUGGCAUGCAGGGGCGCACUAACCAUUCAAAAACUGGCAGGUGGAAUUAUUGGAACUGGAAUUAGCACGAGAUGACCCAUUAGGAGAGAACCUAGCUCUAUCUUUUAAAUUUAUUAUCUCUCUACCCUUUAACUUCUCAUUCACUCAACAGCUACUUUCUGAGCACCUAGGAUGCACUGUGUUAGGUGCUUGCUCUCCAGGUGUGAACAAAGUAUAGUCCCUAUCCACUUGGAGUGUACAGCUAAGCAGAGGAGACACUCAUGCCCAAAGAAGAAAAACACACCCAGAAUCACAGUGCAGUAGACAUAUGCUGCGUUGGAGGUGGAGAUUUUUAAAGCAUUGUGGAGUCCUAGAAGGACAUUUUGCCCAUUAGAUAAAUAUUUAUUAAGCACUAACUAUGUGCUAAACCCUGUGAUAGGCAUUCAUCAAGUUAUUUACUCUUCAAGUAAAUCCUACCCUCAGGAAAAGUGACAUCUUGGAAAGGCAUUCUGUUACUUAUUGGGAAGUCCAGAAAACAUUCCGAGAAUCUGAGCCUACGCUGGCAGUCUAAUCACACACAGCUGCAAGUGAGCAUUAUUUAUUACUAGAGGAUAUUCGGAAUCAUUCAAAAGUGGUUCCAGAGAGUUGUUGUUGUCUUGGUGAAAGAUACUGGUAGGAAGUCCCAGAAGAGGAUCAAGAGGGACCCUGUAGAUAGUUAAGAGCUCUUCUGAGGAUUUUGUAGGCCCUGGGCCCUCUUACCCAUGAAGACACAGCCCAGAUCUUCUGAAACAUCCCAAGUAUAUGAUAGCACCUGAAAUACCUCCAUAGACCCCUGCAAA